ACGGAGAUAAAAAAAUUGUAAAGUAUGUAUAACAAAAUUUUAUUAAGAUAGAAAAAAGUAUGGAGAUGCCGGGGAUCGAACCCGGGGCCUUUCACAUGCAAAGCGAACGCUCUACCACUGAGCUACAUCCCCUACAGAUCUAUCAGGAUCAGGAAGUAUUGCCUAGUGCCUACUAGAAGAGGGAGCACUAAUGAAGUAUGAAGUGAAAUUGGGAACUAGAUACAGAAGUUCGUCUAACAGUAUUUGCUCAUCUUUAGUAUCAAUUUACUCGAUUAAAUUAGCGGCCAGUCAUUGUUUUACAUAUGUGUGGUUAAAAAGGUAUAAGCCUAUAAACACCGAAGCUGAUCAGCCACUGUUAAUUUUAGAAUGUCAUGAAAAAUAUUGUUUUGAUUUUUAUAUCAUAUCAUCUUUAUUCAUAGAUUUGUAACUUUUGACAUUUUAACUUCUUUUGUCUUUAUGUAAAAUUCAGUGUGUUAUUAAGUCUUCAGUAUGUUUCGAAAUCUGAACCUUGAGUUCCGCAUUGAAAUCUGCAUAAAUCGAGACAGGAGCUGUCUAUCAAGCUUGAACAAAAAAUACCAAUAAGGUUCCUCACUUAUAGAAGUACCUACAUAAAAUAGAAAUAGUUCGCUGUUGGGUUUUGAUUAUUCUUAAUUAAAGAAUUUAAGCAAAUAAUUCUAAUAGCUUUUAUUUAUAAAUUAAUAAAAUUAAAUUGUAUAAAAAUAUUAUAUAAUAAAUUCGGUUGCAACCUUGAAUUAAACUAUUUGUUGUAUCUAAAAUAUAUAUAUUUGUAAGUCACGGAGUAGACCUCUCUAACAGAUGUUGAUUUACUGAAACUAUUUUGAUUUAUAGAAUAUUCGUGACUCUGCUCUCUUGUUUAUUUGUUGUUAUUCGAAAUAUUGUUUGUAUUAAAUAUAGAGCGUGUUGUUACGUUGAAAUGCUGAUAGUAAA